CGCUAGUAUAUAUUUUAUUUGUUCAUGAAUUUUGACUUUGACUUUUAUGUUGGCAGACGGCAGAGGGCAGCAAACGCGAGACGCCAUGCGGAACAGAAAAAGCGGUCUCCGGUACGCAAGAAUGACAACGAGCAGAAAGAUAAGCUUGCACAACCGAACCAGCGCGGCGCGGACGGACGUAUGAACAGUGAGCCCGUAGACCGAUGCGGAAUGCGACGACGUCGCCGCUGCUCCCGUAGGCGUCGACGGCGGAGUCGCCGCCGUUGCUGUUGUCGUCGUCGCCGCCGUCGCAGCCGCAGCCGUUGCCGACGUCGCCGCCGUUUCCGUCGUCGCCGACGUUUGCGUCGACGCCGCAGUUGUCGGCGCCGCCGACGCCUUUAAUGCAUUGUAAAGCCAUACUUGCGAAUAAAAAAAGACUCGCGUAGCUUAUUUCGGAGAUGUCAUUGCAUCCGUAUAUACGAGUACAUUACAACGCAGAAUUCAGGACACUUAACAUUGUCUACGCGGGAACUAAAGGUUAGGUUUUGUUAACCUCUGAAGCCAUCACAAAUAGGAAAGGGUGUGAGUUGUGACAUUGGAUUGAUACAAUAAACUUCUUCUAGAAACAUAGAAAAUUAGUA
rnacentral:lncRNA from 1 species